rnacentral:rRNA from 1 species
UACGUAGGGCGCGAGCGUUGUCCGGAAUUAUUGGGCGUAAAGCGCGCGCAGGCGGUUUCUUAAGUCUGAUGUGAAAGCCCACGGCUCAACCGUGGAGGGUCAUUGGAAACUGGGGAACUUGAGUGCAGAAGAGAAAAGCGGAAUUCCACGUGUAGCGGUGAAAUGCGUAGAGAUGUGGAGGAACACCAGUGGCGAAGGCGGCUUUUUGGUCUGUAACUGACGCUGAGGCGCGAAAGCGUGGGGAGCAAACAGG